rnacentral:snoRNA from 1 species
CAUUGGGAUCUGUGAUGGAGCUGCUUUCCCAUGUGUGCAGCAGGCAGAAGAGAGGCCAACGUGACAGUUUUCCUGCAGGACUGAUGUCAUCUGUAACUCAUCUGUGACAUUUUGGGAAAAGACAGCC